rnacentral:rRNA from 1 species
UGCCAGCAGCCGCGGUAAUACGGAGGGUGCAAGCGUUGUUCGGAAUUAUUGGGCGUAAAGGGGAGGCAGGUGGUCUCGUUUGCCAGAGGUGAAAUCCCGGUGCUUAACACCGGAACUGCCUUUGAAACGGCGAGACUAGAGUCCUGGAGAGGGUUGUGGAAUUCCCAGUGUAGCGGUGAAAUGCGUAGAGAUUGGGAGGAACACCAGAGGCGAAGGCGGCAACCUGGACAGGUACUGACACUGAACUCCGAAAGCGUGGGUAGCAAACAGGAUUAGAUA